rnacentral:rRNA from 1 species
CCUACGGGUGGCAGCAGUGAGGAAUAUUGGUCAAUGGUCGGGAGACUGAACCAGCCAAGCCGCGUGAGGGAUGAAGGUACAGAGUAUCGUAAACCUCUUUUGUCAGGGAACAAAGGCGGGGACGUGUCCCCGGAUGAGUGUACCUGAAGAAAAAGCAUCGGCUAACUCCGUGCCAGCAGCCGCGGUAAUACGUAGGUGGCAAGCGUUGUCCGGAUUUACUGGGUGUAAAGGGCGUGCAGCCGGAGAGACAAGUCAGAUGUGAAAUCCACGGACUCAACCCGUGAACUGCAUUUGAAACUGUUUCCCUUGAGUGUCGGAGAGGUAAUCGGAAUUCCUUGUGUAGCGGUGAAAUGCGUAGAUAUAAGGAAGAACACCAGCGGCGAAGGCGGAUUACUGGACGAUAACUGACGGUGAGGCGCGAAAGCGUGGGGAGCAAACAGGAUUAGAUACCCGGGUAGUC